rnacentral:rRNA from 1 species
UCUACGGGAGGCAGCAGUGGGGAAUAUUGGACAAUGGGGGGAACCCUGAUCCAGCGACGCCGCGUGCGUGAAGAAGUAUUUCGGUAUGUAAAGCUCUAUCAGCAGGGAAGAAAGAAAUGACGGUACCUGACUAAUAAGCCCCGGCUAACUACGUGCCAGCAGCCGCGGUAAUACGUAGGCGGCAAGCGUUAUCCGGAUUUACUGGGUGUACAGGGAGCGUAGGCGGCGAUGCAAGUCUGAGGUGAAAGGCGGGGGCUCAACCCCCGGACUGGUUUGGAAACUGUAUGGCUGGAGUGCAGGAGAGGUAAGUGGAAUGGCUGGUGUAGCGGUGAAAUGCGUAGAUAUUAGGAGGAACACCAGUGGCGAAGGCGGCUUACUGGACUGUAACUGACGUUGAGGCUCGAAAGCGUGGGGAGCAAACAGGAUUAGAUACCCCAGUAGUC